rnacentral:antisense_RNA from 1 species
CAUAGCCAAAAAUGGUUAGGGGGUUGAGUGUGGGAUCGGUGACCAAGCGAACAUCGGCGAUCGCCGGAUCGUAUAAUCCUCCUACUACAGUUGCCUUCAGUACUAGCAACAGCGCCCCCAUUCCCAGCAACACCAAGUGAAUGCCGAGAAUGCUCGUCAUUUUGCCCCCAUUUUCCCA